GUUCAGUUAAAUGCAGGGGACGACAUGACCAGUAUCGUGGAGAUUGUCUUACCCCCCGCCUUUGGUCAACGACUUGAAGGAGUGGCGGCAAUAUCUCCUUCCAUCGGUUUGGGUUUGCAUCCAUGCUGCAGACAUCAGUUUGUCCUGAAAGGCAGUGGGUUCUGGAUCGACAACUCACUACUCCUUCGUGAAUGACACCUGUCUUCCCAGUUGGUGAGCAACAUGAGACAGUGUCGGGAAGGCAGCAUUUCAUAGUGCGCAGAUAUCGCAGGAGUGGUCUGGAACCCUGGAGCCACCGUGCAAAUGGCACAAAUCCAGAGGUUUGGAAAGCAAGGAGCCUGUCGGCCAUGUGGCAUGAGGUCACCUCUCCAUCCAUUGCCGUAGAGGGCGCUAUUCAACACAGCCCGCAUACACCAGAGAUAGUUGAGUUAAGUUUUCUGAGCUGUCCAACAGCCAUAGAAGGCUCUAUAAUGCUAUCUUGUUUUUCGCCUAAACACACCCAUCCCCCCCCAAAAAAAAAA